CAAGUUCUUCUUAGUUCAAGCUGUGUCUAAUCGGUGGUGCUUUAAAGAUUUCAACUCAGAGCAAAAAUCAAGUGAACGGAAUUGAAGGAGUUUACUGUAAGAGGAUAAACAGAAGAGAUUUUUUUUGGAUGAUGAUAUGUUUGGCUGUGAUUGAUGGGCAGUAGAACGGUGAAUAAUGGUGUAGAAAAUAAUAGGAAAAAUUCAGCAGCAAUGCCGAGCAAUGUUCCUGCAGUACCUACUUCGAAUCCCAGUGGCACAGAGGCAAAUGCCGUUCGUUCUU